GCUUAUGAUGAUGUAAUCCAAUUGUUUGAGAUGUUGUGGAGCUAAGAUCCUGUUUACAGGAUGAACCUACUUGGUGAAGCUAUGUUCAUUUGACAUUAACGGAUUUGACUGAGGC